CAGUCGCCGCGGUAAUACGAAGGGUGCAAGCGUUAAUCGGAAUUACUGGGCGUAAAGCGUACGUAGGCGGUGAGUUAAGUCUGAUGUGAAAUCCCCGGGCUCAACCUGGGAAUGGCAGUGGAUACUGGCUCGCUAGAGUGUGGCAGAGGAUGGUGGAAUUCCAGGUGUAGCGGUGAAAUGCGUAGAGAUCGGGAGGAACAUCAGUGGCGAAGGCGGCCAUCUGGGACAAGACUGACGCUCAGGCACGAAAGCGUGGGGAGCAAACAGGAUUAGAUACCCCCGUAGUCCCUGUCUCUUAUAU
rnacentral:rRNA from 1 species